GAUCCUCUUCCGUCUUCCGUCUUCCAGAGGCUUCUUUCCCUUGAGCACCAAGCCCGGGCCUUAACCCUAGUGCUAUCCUCAUAUCUAGCAUCUACGCUAAAGUUCACUCCUUUCCGGCACCGGCGUCGGAGAUGUCGCACUUCGGGAGAUCAGGGCCGCCUGACAUCAGGGACACAUACUCGCUUCUCGUUCUCAACAUCACUUUUCGGACAAAGGCGGACGAUCUUUACCCUCUCUUUGACAGGUAUGGCAAGGUAGUUGAUGUCUUCAUUCCAAGGGAUCGCAGGACGGGAGAUUCCCGGGGAUUCGCGUUUGUGAGGUACAAAUAUGCGGAUGAAGCGCAGAAGGCUGUUGAUAGGCUUGAUGGAAGGAAUGUUGAUGGUCGGAAUAUUAUGGUGCAGUUUGCAAAGUAUGGGCCCAACGCAGAGCGGACUCACAAGGGAAGAAUCAUGGAAGCAGUUCCAAGGUCAAGGGGUAGAUCAAGGAGCCGAAGCCCUAGGCCAAGGUAUAGGGAUGAUUACAGAGAUCGAAAUUAUAGAAGGCAUAGUCGCAGUAGAAGCAGAGGAAGAUAUGAGCGUAACAGGCACUAUGACCGAGAGAGAUACUACCAUCGUAGUAAAAGUUACAGUUUCAGCCCUGACUAUGACAGAGAUUAUGGUCGAAGCAGGUUAGAUGAUGCCCGAAGGAGCAGGAGCCGCUCCUUUGCCAGUGCAUCACCUGCUCGACGUAGCUAUAGCUCAAGGAGUUCCUCCCCCCGCAGGACACCCCUAUCUCGUGAUGCGAGCCUGGAUGAACAUGGCAGUCGGGGGAAAUCUUCACCUUCCCGUAGUGUUUCUCCCGAAGGUCGUCAAGAUGACUCCAGAAGUACAUCUCCCUGCAGUUCUGGCUAGUUCUCAUCAUUCAGCAGAAUUAAACUGUCAGCUAUCUUCAGCAUAUAAAGAUUGAGAAGGAUUCUCAUGAAGGUAGAGGCAUAUGGUUCUUGCUGGCAGUGAUCUUGUUUCCUAGGUUUAAUUUUACUUCGUUAAGUUUUGUUCGAGAGGGAGUGAGUUGCUGAUUACUGACAAGAUGAAUGUAUAUCGGUUUUCAUCCUGAUGAAGCUGCUGUGGCUGACCCUGUUUUCAAUUUCAUUUGAUGAUGAUGAUGAUGGUGGUGGUCAUGAUGAUGAUGUUGAUGUUGAUGUUGUUUGUUGGAUGGUCGUGACAUUUGUCAUGUUACAACACCCAACCACAAGUGAGGCCGAUUCCAAUAUAUAGCUUCAUCCUCCCAUUUGUGUCUCGGUUGCUGCUGCGGUUGAUAUUUGAGACCUCAGAAAGUAGCAGCAGCUGUUAAGUGCAUGAGAUAAAGCUUGGGUUGAAAUGCACCGUGACCAUUGCUCAUUGUUGUGCUUUGGUAUGCUACUCUUCCGCGAUUUGAUAUGCUGUGGUUAUUGCACUUUGCUGUGCUUUUUCUGAAUACCAAGCUGAUACUUGCAUGUUGACCAUAGCUCAUUUUUUGAAAGUUAAUGGUAACGCCGCUCAGCAUGCUUUGUUUA